GAUGAACGCUGGCGGCGUGCCUAAUACAUGCAAGUCGAGCGAACAGACGAGGAGCUUGUUCCUCUGACGUUAGCGGCGGACGGGUGAGUAACACGUGGAUAACCUCCCUAUAAGACUGGUAUAACUUCGGGAAACCGGCGCUAAUACCGGAUAAUAUAUUGACCCGCAUGGUUCAAUAGUGAAAGACGGUUUUGCUGUCUCUUAUAGAUGGAUCCGCGCCGCAUUAGCUAGUUGGUAAGGUACCGGCUUACCAAGGCAACGAUGCGUAGCCGACCUGAGAGGGUGAUCGGCCACACUGGAACUGAGACACGGUCCAGACUCCUACGGGAGGCAGCAGUAGGGAAUCUUCCGCAAUGGGCGAAAGCCUGACGGAGCAACGCCGCGUGAGUGAUAAAGGUCUUCGGAUCGUAAAACUCUGUUAUUAGGGAAGAACAAAUGUGUAAGUAACUAUGCACGUCUUGACGGUACCUAAUCAGAAAGCCACGGCUAACUACGUG
rnacentral:rRNA from 1 species